UCGCUCUUAGUUCAGUUUGGUAGAACAUGGGUUUCCAAAACCCAAUUUCGUAGCUUCAAAUCCUACAGAGUGAU
rnacentral:tRNA from 1 species